AUCUAGCUGACAAGUCUCAAAUAAGACUAAACAAUCGUUCUGGAU
rfam:Schistosoma curassoni strain Dakar, Senegal genome assembly, scaffold: SCTD_scaffold0000350